UUGUACAACUAGAUCUUUCCUUAGUUAUCGUAGAAAUGGAAAAGUCCGCGAUAUUGGAAAAGUUAUGAAAUGAACAGUCAUGAUUGUAUUCCUUGUUUCAAUACAGUUACCAUCUGUUUUAUUGAAUGCUUGUAUUAAUGGUUUUGUGAAAAUCUUAAUGGAAAAUUACCGACGACUGCCACAGUGACCAUGUCACAUCCGACACAAGGGAAAGUUGGACGUUGUCCUGUCCAAACUGCCAUUUCAUCACAGUUUUUUUUUUUCAAACGGAGUUUAAAUUUCAAUGAUCUUGUGUUCGUGGAACUUCGCAAUUCAUUUGGAUGAUAAAAGGAAUAACAAUUACAAUAUCAUACUGUUUGAGGUGUGUCACUGAUGAUAGGAGGUAUGUUGCGUCAUGUUUUUUCCAUCCAAGGCUGUAUAAAGUCCAAUGCAUCGAAAGUAAUGAUUACAGUUUGCGUUGGAGGGCUGUGAUUGGCCAGCGGCGGAGGCCUGGCCGGGGUGUGGCGAAACGUGUUGUGUAUGAAACGUUCGACGUUCGAAAGGCCACUUGUUCUCCAAGGUAUUCCGAUGGAGCAAAAAAUAGGCUACCAGGAACCAGACGACCAAAUGCCACAGGUUGACCAAAUUGCUGUACAUACAAAAUAAUUGCCUGCACGAUGUGAUGAUUGCAUACUUUUUGCGAGUCUGCUUGGGUUGACUAAAUCCUAUGUGAAGCAAAUAACUAUGCAGUGUUUUUAUUGUCAGUAAGAUUUAUUAUUAUAUCAGCUGUAAUUACAUACACCUACUAGGAAUUUAUUUAUUUUUUUGUUAUAAUAGGUACUUGUAUGAUUUUUUUUUUUGCGGUGGGUACCUACUUAGUAUUUGAUUUCAGCAUUCAUUAUUCAAGGUGAUAAUUUUUAAUGCGCAGUUGUCUAUAAAUUAGAAAUAUAUAGAGAUUAUAUGUACUAAUAUAUAACCUAAUGCUAAUAUUCAUAUGUUAGUUAGCCUUCAAAUAAAUUUCAGCACAAUGAGCGAGGCGCCGCAGUCACUUCAGUAACGACCUAGAUACUAAUUAUUAAUAUUGUCUAUUUAUAUAAAGAAAAUAGAUAGGUGACCUAACUCAGAAUUCCCUUAUUUAGUACCUACGUCUGUAUAGGCCUUACUUAGGCACUAAGAAGGCAUCGCAUGUUAAGCACUUGCCUACCUCUAGGGCUGAAUGAAAACGACCGGAGGACAUCGAUGAAUAACACGAUAAAAAACUGUUUUUUGCACAAUCACACAAGAAAAAAACUGUACACAUACAUACAUAAACUCACGCCUAUUUCGCUCCGGGGUAAGUAGAGACUAUGGAAUUCCAUUUGCUAAAACCUACCUACUUACAUUGAGGGGCUUUCUACGCUACCUUCCUCAAAACAAUAUAGAUGGCGCUGUACAGUUUUUUCCUUCGUUUAACCUUCUAAUUUCUUGGAUAACAGACAUGCUUCUAUUACCUUUGUUUUUUACAGAAGCGACUGCCGACUAAAUGAUGACUUGUUUAUUAUAUUUAAUUGUUUGUUAUAAUAAAAAGGCUAAAUUACAUAUUCCAUCCAUUAUUAUUCUGAUCAAAAUAAAGAGAAGAAAUAUAGUUAGCAUUCCCAUGCAGUCAUAUACACGGUGUUAGUGACCUCGUAACGAAUACUGAGGGGGAUGAUUCAGACCAUGAUUCUGAGUUAAUAUCAAGUGGAAUUUUCCGUCGGAUAAUUCAUGAAAAAAUAGUGUUUUUUAUAAAUUAUUUUCCGUUCCUUAAAUUUGCGAUGGAAACUUCCACUUUAAAAUCAAUUCAGAAUCAUGGCUUGAAUCGUCCCUCAAAGGUUUCAUUAAGAUGUCACUAACACCCUGUAUGUGGCUUCUACUUACCUACUAUUUAAUUAUUACCAGUUAUACUUUUAGCCUUGUGUAAAUUAUAAAAGUAUAUUUUCUGUUUUGUUACUAGUUUUAAUAAUUGUUUUCAUAAUAAUGUGCGCGUGUUUCAUAUUUUGGUUGUGUCCGUGACUCACGCACGCAGCGUAUUCGAAAAUUUUCCAGUGCUUACA
rnacentral:lncRNA from 1 species